rnacentral:rRNA from 1 species
UAAAUAGCCCGUAUUGCUUUGGCAGUACGCUGGCUUCUUAGAGGGACUAUCCGUUUAAACGGAUGGAAGUUCGCGGCAAUAACAGGUCUGUGAUGCCCUUAGAUGUUCUGGGCCGCACGCGCGUUACACUGACGGAGCCAGCGAGUACCUCCUUGGUAGAGAUACCUG